rnacentral:rRNA from 1 species
CCUAUGGGGGCAGCAGUGGGGAAUAUUGGACAAUGGGCGAAAGCCUGAUCCAGCCAUGCCGCGUGUGUGAAGAAGGCCUUCGGGUUGUAAAGCACUUUCAGUGGGGAAGAAAGCCUUGGGGCUAAUACCCUCGAGGAAGGACAUCACCCACAGAAGAAGCACCGGCUAACUCCGUGCCAGCAGCCGCGGUAAUACGGAGGGUGCGAGCGUUAAUCGGAAUUACUGGGCGUAAAGCGCGCGUAGGCGGUCUGAUAAGCCGGUUGUGAAAGCCCCGGGCUCAACCUGGGAACGGCAUCCGGAACUGUCAGGCUAGAGUGCAGGAGAGGAAGGUAGAAUUCCCGGUGUAGCGGUGAAAUGCGUAGAGAUCGGGAGGAAUACCAGUGGCGAAGGCGGCCUUCUGGACUGACACUGACGCUGAGGUGCGAAAGCGUGGGUAGCAAACAGGAUUAGAUACCCUUGUAGUC